UGUCUCCUCCCUCUCUCUCUGCCCCUCCCCUGCUCGUGCUCUGUCUCUCUCAAAAAUGAAUAAACAUUUAAAAAAAUUUAAAAAUAAAAAGAGAUUGCAGACAUGAUAGAGUGUCUAGAAGAGACUAUGUCGGGCAGAAUUGACCUUAACAAAAGUUAGGUCUUUCCUCUUCAAAUGUAUUGGUUCUCAAACCUAACAUGCACAGAAUAACCUGAUGAGCUUGUUUAACAUGCACUGUCCCAAACUUUUCUUCCAAGGCCCAGGGGUAUUCACCUCUGUCACACAUCUCAGAACACCCUGAUUGAUGACACACAGACCACCAUAUUUUGAGAAACAUGCCUUCAGAUUCUUGAUUUCCAUCGCUUCAUUCUGCCCUUUACUUGAGAGCCAAUAGGAUCCUUCAUGAAGCAACCAGGUGAUUUUUUUCUACAAGAACUCCUUACCAUAAGAGGUAUAUGACCUCCUUCUAUUCUGUUGGCAGCAUCCAUUUGCCUCAGUUCUUUCUAUCCAGGGCAGAUUUGAAAAACACAGAUAACCACUGUCUGAUUCAAGAACCGUGAAAAACUCCAGAUCACACAGCUCUGACGAUGGGAUAAUAAUUUAAGGAAGCAGGUGGCAUGAUCGAUGAAUUAAAGCUUCCCUGGAACCAACACAAGGCAAAUGACUACAGGAACAACUUCCCAGCACAAUUCAGACCGGCUCAAAUGAACUUCUGCCCCCCAAACUCAACAGCCAAUCAAUCCUAGGUAAGGUUUAUACAAAGCCACACAACAAAUGUAACCAAGCACAUGCCUUUUAUAAGAUUACUUUAAAACAACAGGACCGACUUGAGAGCACAAUUUGCCCAUCAUUCGUUGUACACGGUGUUUUCUUAGGGCACACAUUCCAUGAUCACAGUGACCAGAAUGGUUUUCAGUAACCUAAAACAAUAGGACCACAUUCCCAAGUGGAAAUUCUACAAAAACACUUACAGAUCCUUUUAAGUCUCUUCGUUAUUUUUGUCCACCAAAAGCCACAUAUUCCAUCACAAUGAAUUAACUUUAUUUGAUCAAAAAUACUGGAAAAAAUUAAU